UUAAAAGAAUAUUGGCAGAAAAACAGCCCUAGAGUUCCAGCAGGAGCAAACAGGAACAGGAAAACAAAUGACAGUAUCCCUGAGACAGCCACUUCUGGUGGUUGCCAGUCACCUGCGGAUUCAGCAACAGGUUUCCACAGGGAAGGCCCUACAUCAUCUGCUACCCUGAAAGAUCUGGAGAGCCCGUGCCAAGAACAAGCAGUAGUCCUGGAUUCAAGGUCCGUAGAAAUCGGUCAACUGAAGAACACCAUCAAAUCUUUGAAACAACAGAAGAAACAAGUGGAACAUCAGCUGGAAGAAGUAACGUGAUUUCGUUUCCUUGCAACAUGACUGCUGGGUUUGGGGGGCACUCAGACAUACAGGCCCCAGUCUCG
rnacentral:sRNA from 1 species